ACGCUCGACACCUACGGGAGCAGCAGUGAGGAAUAUUGGUCAAUGGACGCAAGUCUGAACCAGCCAUGCCGCGUGCAGGAUGACGGCUCUAUGAGUUGUAAACUGCUUUUGUACGAGGGUAAACGCAGAUACGUGUAUCUGUCUGAAAGUAUCGUACGAAUAAGGAUCGGCUAACUCCGUGCCACCAGCCGCGGUAAUCUGAGCGGGCUGGCAAGGC
rnacentral:rRNA from 1 species